rnacentral:rRNA from 1 species
CAGCAGCCGCGGUAAUACGGAGGGAGCUAGCGUUAUUCGGAAUUACUGGGCGUAAAGCGCACGUAGGCGGCUUUGUAAGUAAGAGGUGAAAGCCCGGAGCUCAACUCCGGAACUGCCUUUUAGACUGCAUCGCUUGAAUCCAGGAGAGGUGAGUGGAAUUCCGAGUGUAGAGGUGAAAUUCGUAGAUAUUCGGAAGAACACCAGUGGCGAAGGCGGCUCACUGGACUGGUAUUGACGCUGAGGUGCGAAAGCGUGGGGAGCAAACAGGAUUAGAGACCCCCGUAGUCCCUGUCUCUUAUAA